CACCUACUCCCUCCGUCCAGAAAUACUUGUCAUCAAAAUGAAUAAAAUGAGAUGUAUCUAGACGUAUUUUAGUUCUAGAUACGUCCCUUUUUUAUUCAUUUCGAUGACAAGUAUUUUCGGACGGAGGGAGUACCAA
rfam:Triticum aestivum genome assembly, contig: Triticum_aestivum_CS42_TGACv1_scaffold_223634_3B